rnacentral:rRNA from 1 species
UACGUAGGUCCCGAGCGUUGUCCGGAUUUAUUGGGCGUAAAGCGAGCGCAGGUGGUUUAUUAAGUCUGGUGUAAAAGGCAGUGGCUCAACCAUUGUAUGCAUUGGAAACUGGUAGACUUGAGUGCCGGAGAGGAGAGUGGAAUUCCAUGUGUAGCGGUGAAAUGCGUAGAUAUAUGGAGGAACACCGGUGGCGAAAGCGGCUCUCUGGCCUGUAACUGACACUGAGGCUCGAAAGCGUGGGGAGCAAACAGG